UACGUAGGGACCAAGCGUUGUUCGGAUUUACUGGGCGUAAAGGGCGCGUAGGCGGCUUAACAAGUCACUUGUGAAAUCUCCGGGCUUAACUCGGAACGGCCAAGUGAAACUGUCAAGCUAGAGUGCAGAAGGGGCAAUCGGAAUUCUUGGUGUAGCGGUGAAAUGCGUAGAUAUCAAGAGGAACACCUGAGGUGAAGACGGGUUGCUGGGCUGACACUGACGCUGAGGCGCGAAAGCCAGGGGAGCAAACGGGG
rnacentral:rRNA from 1 species